AAGAAACAGUAUGUUCAGCUUUGUCUCAGGCAAGCUUUAGCCCUGCUUUUUAGCUACCCUUGAAAUACUGAGAACUCCAUUCUUUACAGUGAAUGCCUCUAAUUUCAACAACAACAACAACAUAGAAACUCUCUGUCUUUACUGCAGGUAAUAACCAAGGCAGGAAUGAAAACCACCACAAAUCAUCAGGAGCAUCUCCCUGUGUUACUCUCCAGUCUGCCAGCCUGGCCUGCUUUGUAUCAUCUCCAAAUCAUCACGCCACACAUGAGGAGCAUGGCAAUACUGGAUAAAACUGGUCCAAAAGUGUGUUUUUUAUUCCCAUGAACAUCUGUCUCAGCCAGAAGUCCUGGCUGUGGGUGUAAAGACCAUGUUGCAGAAGAGUCAGUCUCUCUGAAAUGCAAGAGAGAGAGGAUUUUAGAGGGAGUCACUUUCUGAUGUCUGAGCAUCUUGUGAGGAGGCUGCAUGUGAGCAGAGCAGGGCUGCAAUUAAGCCACACGUGCACAGGCAGUUAUAUCUCCAGAUCAGAUGGCUGCAUAGGAUUUAUCUGAAGGAUGCUCACCCAUCACCCAGACCCACACUUCAUUGUCAGC